UCUCGCUCUGUCGCCAGGCUGGAGUGCAAUGGUGUGAUCUCGGCUCACUGCAUCCUCUGCCUCCCAGGUUCAAGCGAUUUUCCUGCCUCAGCCUCCUGAGUAGCUGGGAUUACAGGCGCGCACCACCAGACUCAGUUGGUACAAAGAACAUUCUUGUCUCCUUAUAAACAUUGGUUUCUUGUGAGGAUUAAACGGAAGAAUGUUUAUGAAGAUAAGUGGA